rnacentral:lncRNA from 1 species
UUUUGGCAUACAUUGUUCAAAUUUAUAUGUUAUAUAUUAUUUAGUAUAUGAAUACCUUUCUUUGGUGCUCAUAUUAUUCAACAGCCAAUAUGAUAGUACUGAAGGGUAAAGCAACAUAUUUAAAAUACAACUGAACGAUGAAUAAUUAAGAAUAAAAUUAUAUGAGUUGACAACCUAAAAUAAACAAACAUAUCAAAAGAUAUAUCCAACAAAAAUAAGAUAAAACAUAUCCUCAUUAAAAUUAUCUCAACGCUCAAAUACAAAAUUUAGUUAACUGCAACCCUUGAUAAUGCAUACCUUAUAAAAAUAAACUUAAGAAAUGAG